rnacentral:rRNA from 1 species
GACGAAGGGGGCUAGCGUUGUUCGGAAUUACUGGGCGUAAAGCGCGCGUAGGCGGCUUUGUAAGUUAGAGGUGAAAGCCCGGAGCUCAACUCCGGAACUGCCUUUAAGACUGCAUCGCUUGAAUCCGGGAGAGGUGAGUGGAAUUCCGAGUGUAGAGGUGAAAUUCGUAGAUAUUCGGAAGAACACCAGUGGCGAAGGCGGCUCACUGGACCGGUAUUGACGCUGAGGUGCGAAAGCGUGGGGAGCAAACAGG